AUCAUGUUGCCUACACAACACAUCUUCGCUUGAAAUGUGCAGUAUGUGGGCGGAGCCUGGUCUCCUGUGCCUAGGGUACGGUUGGCCCAAAAAGAAGUCUUGUUAGAGGGAUAGGGACGCAUGACUGGUGGUGGUUGAUUAGACGGUCUUCCAGUGUUGUGUGCUUUAAUUCUUGAUGGUAAAGACUCUUACAAUACCCUGAUGUGUUGUCUUAUGAUAACUCUUUGAUG
rnacentral:rRNA from 1 species